rnacentral:rRNA from 1 species
AUACGAGUUUGAUCAUGGCUCAGAACGAACGCUGGCGGCAGGCCUAACACAUGCAAGUCGAGCGAACCCUUCGGGGUUAGCGGCGGACGGGUUAGUAACGCGUGGGAAUAUACCCUUUGGUACGGAAUAGCCUCGGGAAACUGAGAGUAAUACCGUAUGUGCCCUUCGGGGGAAAGAUUUAUCGCCAAAGGAUUAGCCCGCGUUGGAUUAGAUAGUUGGUGGGGUAAUGGCCUACCAAGUCUACGAUCCAUAGCUGGUUUGAGAGGAUGAUCAGCAACACUGGGACUGAGACACGGCCCAGACUCCUACGGGAGGCAGCAGUGGGGAAUCUUAGACAAUGGGCGCAAGCCUGAUCUAGCCAUGCCGCGUGGACGACGAAGGCCUUAGGGUUGUAAAGUCCUUUCAGAUGGGAAGAUAAUGACGGUACCAUCAGAAGAAGCCCCGGCUAACUCCGUG